CGCUGAUAGUCCUGCAAGUGAACGUACUUGCAGCACUCAGGAUCAAAGCCCCACUGAAAGUUGUGCUGGUAAUACUUAUAGUACCAAUUGUCCUCCAGAUGGGAGGGCGGGAACAGCGCUAAGAGUCUCGCAUUGUCCUCCAGAAAGUUGUUGUAAGUUUGUAACAUGAUAUCUUGCCACACAUAUGUAUGCUGUGGUAGUGAUGACAAGGCACCUCGUGAGCUCUGAUGCGGCACAGCGCGAGGCGUUGGUUGAGCGCCUUGAGCUGCUGCUCGUCGCACCAGGCCGGUGACUCGUCGUCGUUGUCGUCGUCUUCAGGUGCAGGGGGACCGCCGUUCAACCGCUCGAAAAGAGAAAUGAACUCCCUUUGGAGCCUGUCGUUGUCCCAGUCAAGGCCUUCGAUCUGCUCUUGUCCGCCGGGAGAAAGGCCGGUGUCCACCUUGCCGAGAUCCCCGGGAGCGGGUGCGCUUUGGAUCUUUGCCCUCUUUUCACCGGUCCAUUCAGAGGCUUCGCCGGAUCCAAACCCUAGCCUCUCCUGCGGGUACGAUUCGAUCCGAGAGAAUGGUUUGUCGAAGAAGCCGAUGAUCGAUUUGGUGGAGAUCCAUGUACCUCUCUUGCUGGGCCGUAUUCUCGUCCAGGCCGCGAGGCGGCAGAACUGCCGCGGCCCGCUGUGAGUCAGUCACCCACACCGCCCCUUCUUCAUCCUCUUCUCCGGCGGUUCUCCCAAACGCCGCGGUCCCGUCCUGCCCGGCGGGUCGUCGGAGGGUUCGACGCCGCGGUCCCGUCCCGUCCAUGCAGGUUCCGCGACCCCCUCCUCCUCGCCAGUGCCAGUCCCAGCCCCGCCGCCGCCGCCGCCUCGUCCACUCCACCUCUAAAACCCGCCGCGGCGGAGCUCCAGAAGUGCCGUCAGGUGGGUGCCCGCGAGCUCCUCUCACCUCUGUUUCGGUUCGAUUUCCGGAGCUUAUGUGGGGUUAAUCGAUUCCCUAAGUUUGUCUCUGCCGGGUUUGGGGGAAUUUUCCGGCUCGACGUCCAAGCAAACAUCGACCAGGGGACAUCAUACUUGGCUGAUGAGCAACAGAAGAAGGGUAGCAUUUGGGAGCUCUUCAGCGAGGCUCAGUCGGAGUAACUUUACUAACCAGUAUCUGAAGUUCCAAACCAAAAUGAAAACAAACAACGAAGUCCAAAAGACUGUACAGAAGAACUAGGCUACGACAGAAGCUCGUACUAUGGAGCAAUGUAUGCUUUCACAUCAGUUGAUUGACAAUUAUGUUGUAACUUAUGGCCCUGGGCUUUUAUUUACUUGUAACCAGGCAAUCUUUCCGUCAUGACCACCACAAUACAGCUAUGUCCGAGUACAUCACCUCUACAUAUGGAGACAUAUGUCUCUUUCUCAAGCUCUCGCCGACAUAGUAAGUUCACAAUCUCCAGGGGACUAGCCGCUGUUUUGACAGAACAGGGUACUAGCUUUCAUGUCACUGUGCUGUAUGUUGCUGAUUAUGUGCGACUGAUCAUCUCUGCAAGAAUCAAGAAAGUGAAGUUCUGAACCAUCAGCAUAAACCAAGUUUGCAAUUACAAAACUGGGAAGCAAAAUCUAUAUAUCUGAAUAAGCUAUAUUCUGAACUUAUUUGCUCUGAACAUAGCCACCAUAGGCCAGUCUAGGGCAUAUCUAACACAAUUUGCUCUCCAUUGUGCAGAAUAAUGACCGUUCAGGUGGGAUUUGUGGAUUAAGGACGCAAUAGCAAAUGGUUUAUCAUGGGACACUCAAGUGCUAUGACAUACAUUGGAAAGUUUAUUCCUUUAUAAGGAAGCUCUGACAUCAGGAAAGUUCAUGAGACACCACCCCUCCAAACAAAAAAAGAAAAAUGAACACGGACCCCUACCUGUCAGCAAGCAGAACUAUUCUGCCCCUCUGAGUCUCUGAUCCCGUAGAGGAACUCUUCUUUAGAUUCACCACCUCUAUUCACAGCAGUGACGAACCUUUCUGCCUGCCAGCCGGAGGCAAAGCAGUCUAGCCUUUAAUGGAGCGUUGGUGCCGAAGCUCCCCGUCUCUGGUAAAUCAAAGCUGCAUGGAUCAACUGGCGGAGGCUAUCUUAAUUUAUAGGCAUUUUCUGGUGGCUGUUUGAGUGAAUCGUGCGUCGUGCACACAGGCCCGGCAUUGGUUGCAGCUUCGCAGGUAUGAAAUGCCAUAGGCUUGAAACCGAUGGUGUUGGAUUUCCCUGUUCUGUUUGUUGUGUAUAUCUUGCACUGUGUUGUUAUUCUAUUAUGAAUAAUUAGGACGGAAUUUAACAAA